rnacentral:sRNA from 1 species
AAAGAGGAUAAAUAAAAAUCUAAUGGUUACGGCGGUUGAGGCGAACAAAACCUUCAACAGAUCAUACCGCUUUUUAUUUACCAUUCAUCAAUUAUAGUCCGCAGUAGUUCGGACCAAAAAAAAAGAAAAACCGCAGCAAACCGUUUUUAUAUACAAAUAAAUUUGGUACGCACCGAUUUAUUGUCCGCCCAAAAAUAAAAUGGAUUAAACUGCAGAAAAAUUAGACCUUUUUGUCCGCCGCAUCCAUUCAAAGUUUAAGUGGGAAAGUUAAUUACUUAUUUAGUUGAUAUUCGUUUGGACGAGGGCUCCCGAACACAUCGUAAGCUAAAUCGGUGCUGACGAAUAACCAGCCC